ACCCUUCAAUUCCAAUCCGUUUCGUCCUAUAUUGGUCCUGUCCGGUUUCGGCCGGACUAUGGCGAUAAAUGCGCCUGUAAUAAGCGGACCGGACCCGGGUGCGAUUCCCGGCGGCUCCACCAUUCUCUCCCGGUUAUCAGCGGGAUAGUGCGGGGCCGACUAGCAUCGACGGACGUGUAAAGAGGAUUGCUUUCGCUCGUCCUGACCCACCGUAUCGGGUCAUUUUCUAACUGCGAACGAUAACUUCGCUGGGGAAUACGCCGUCGCCGCGUAAUGCGGUUCCGGUAAUUCCGAACUAAGUCCUGGGGGUUCAGAUCCUCAGGCGGGGCCCGGAGGGCGCCUGGCAACAGAAGCCCUCCACU
rnacentral:tmRNA from 1 species